CAGCCGUGGCUCAUGGGGGGCCUCUCCCCCAUUCCCUCCCAGCCCUUCUCCUUUGGGAGCUACCGCUCCAUAUAUACCCUCUCCACCCCCCUGCCCCCGUCCACUCCAUCCACACCCACGCCCCAAAAGGCGAGAAGAAAGUAAGGGAAAAAGGCAGGAUGAUGAGAGAGAGGGAGGCAGGUAGUAUAGGACCAGGAAGAUGAGAGAAAGUUGGCUAGAGAGGGAGCCUUUUCGUUUUGAGGGGAAUGUUGUCUGGCUCGGGGCUCUCUUUCUUUCUCUCUCUCUAUCCUCCUCCCCUCGACCCCUCCUUGAUCAGAUCGAGAGAAAGGUCGAAGAUCCGAUGAGGGGGGAGAAGAGAGUAGACGUGCGUAGAUCUCGGACCAGGCUUCAUUCCCCCCAAAGACAAGGGCUCCCGGCCAUGACCGAUCCAUCGAUCUCCGCCCGUACCGGGAUCCAGGUUGGUUAAUCGCCUCUCCCGAAUCUGAGACGGGCGAGCCGAUUGGUUUCUGUUCAGGUCAUCUUCCUCCUCUCUCUCGAACUGUUUGUCUUUUUUUUUCUCUGUGCGUUGUUUGGGUGAUGGAUAGAUCUCUUUUUUGGUGGCAUGCGUAUAAACUGCAUGAGAUGCAGAUUGGUGUAAUGAUGAGGGGGCGUGACUGCAUGCUUGUGCAUGCAGUCGCGCGCACAUCGCAGCUUCUUCUCAUUGGGGAUCUCCCCCUCCGCCUCUCUUUCCCUCUGCAAUUAUUAGCCUCUGAUUGGGGAAAAGUUGCCAUCAUUAUUUCUUUCUUGGCCCUUUUCCUUGGUUUCGAUGCAUGUCUCAUGUCUGAACUUCUAACGCUUUCCAUGUUUUCAUGCCUUAAUUAAGAUUCAUUACAUGUUUGCAGUAUAUGUAUGUUCCUUGAUUUGGUGGUCAAGCUUACAAGUUUAUUUCCCCGUUAAUGAUAGGAAUAAGCAAAGCAUAUAUAUAUAUACAUGUACAGGUGGUUCUAUCUGUUAAGUGUUCAUGAUUUUCUCAGCUGAAAAAACAUCAGACCCCAGCACUGCACACAUGUUUAUUGCUAUGUCGAGUAGAUCUAGAACAGCUAGCUAGCCGUCGAUUAUACAUGAGAUCAUCUCCCUAUUCAUUCUUAUUUUUUUUUCAAAGGAAUCUAGUAUUAGCAUUGAUUAGAAUCGAAUUACAGGAAUGGUAAAUUCCUUUUAUUUCAUUGGUUGAUUGGCUUUCCUGGUUCAGUUCCAGGGGUAAAUAAUUGAAGAGUCUAGGAAAUAAUUGAAGAGUCCAGGGGUUGAUUGGCUUUCCUGGUCCAAGUCUAGGAAAUAGUACUAGUAAGAAUUAAACAAAAUGGUUGUAGUAUGCACAAAUUAAUCAAUCAUGGCAAUGUUUAGUUGGGCACUGCUUUAGACGCAUCAGGAGUGAAUAUAAUUCCAGCAAAAGCAGUUCAUGAGAUUUUACCUCACUCAGUUAUACAAGAUGGAUGUCCUUGAUGUUCCCGGCAAAAAAAAAAGUUCCUUCAUGAGCUGCCAGCUAGGCUGAUACUGAUGACGGUUCAGAACUGGCCCAGUUAUUCAUCCACUUGAACAUGAAAUGCAGUGCUGCUCCAGAAAGGUACUGCUCCAUCGACUGUUUUUUUUUUCGGAAACCUGUAUUGAUUGGAGCAUAUGCAUGUCAGACCGACUCACCCAGAAGUGUACUCCUACUGCGUGGAAUAGUUAAAAGUAUUCAAAUCUUUUGUUUUGGCACACCAAUGCAUGCAUUGAUGUUGGUGCAGCCUUGUUGUUAUCUCUGAGUUUGUUUGCUGUUCAAGCCUUCAACUCUAGCUGGAAGGUUGGGAAGUGUACUAUGCGCCAUAUUAGUUUUUGCGUCGAGAUGCUCAUACCUUGAUCAGCUGGUGCGUAUGUGCUGCACAUAAUGCUGUUUCCAAUGCCCCCAAACUCCUAAAGAUUCUCUUGUUAUGUACUAGCACAUUUUACUAUGUUAAUUAGUUACAUACCCCUUAAUCACUUCUCUUCCAGAUCCUGUCAAUUAUCUUGAAAGUAAUUAAGGAAUAAAAGUUUCAGGGGUUAGGCUCUAAUAUCUUCCCGUUCUGCCGGUUGCAAUCUAGUGAGGUCAAACCGAUGGGUAGUGUGUGUUUGAUCCAUGAUGUUCUGCAGAAAAAGAAUGGCACCCAUGUUGGUUUUACAUACACAAUCUGGACCUAAGAGUAAUGUUUAGGCUGCAACCACCCUCUCAAGUUAUAUAUAGAGAAAAGUAUCAUCAUCAAUAAUAACAACCAAAUAAGAUAGUACUCCCUCUGUAAACUAAUAUAAGAAUGUUUAGAUCACUAAAAUAAUGAUCUAAACGCUCUUAUAUUAGUUUACAGAGGGAGUAUAAAAUAUAUCUCACGAUGUAUUUCAUGUUAUUUAUUUGGUAUUAUGUAUGUUUAUAUUUUGUCUCUAUAUUGUUGGUCAAACUUUGGAAGACUUGACUUCUCACAAAUAUUUACAUGCACUCUAUUUUGAAACAGAGAGGAUACAUAUGCUUAUUUUCCUUAUAUAUAUUCAAUUAAAUCUGUAUAUGUGUGCUGUUAUACAUAUACACAUAGUGUUUCCAUUCUAAAUUUAUUCAAUUUAUAUCAGUCAAAUUCUCUAUAUUUGACUAAGGUUAGAGAAAAUAUACUAAUAUUAAAACAUAAAUAUCGAUAAUGAAAAAUAUAUUUUGAGAUAAACCUAAUAAAACUAAUAUGUUGUAGUAAAUCUGAUACGUAUAUUUUUUGUGCGGACUUGGUCAAAAUUUUAAAACUCCAAUAGAUUAGCCACACUGUUGAGUAUAUAUAUAGAUAUGAAAUUAUGUAGCCGCCUGGAACAAUGAAAGAACAUAAGAGAGAAUCCUUUUUGAAAGGCCUACAAGAUGCUUCUGAGCAAGCUUUUGCUACAAGGGGGAGGGCUUCACACAGUGAAAUUCAUGGGAUUAUGUGGGACACAUCCGUAGCCCAGUAACCCACGUCGGUGGGAAUGUUUUGGAAUAUAUUUCAAUUAGAUUUGGUUGUAUAUAACAUGAAUAUUUGGAGUAAUAAUGUGAGCUAAACCUGAAAAUAACAAUAAUUUAUUGUGUUUGAUUAUUGUAUAGUUGUCAAAUAUUUACUAAAUAUGAAUAGAAUGUAAAUUCCGCGAAGUGUCCUCAACUUGGGUGAACAGUAAAAUUUGAAAACGAACUCAAAAAAUUAUUUAAUUUUUUAGUGGCAAACUUUGACAAAGGUUUCCAAUGCUUGCAAAGUUUCAUCCUGAAAUGAGAUUCGUGUUAGUCGCUGCCAAAAAAGAAGUAGCACUCCAAAAUGCUUUUGAAAAUAUGUUUUCUGAAGAAUCAAUUUCGUUUAUUUUGCCACGACUUUCGUGAAUAUUAUUUUAUGAUGAAACUUUCCAAGCAUUUAAAACAUUUGUUAAAAUUUGCCACAAAAAUAUUUUAGAAUUGUUAUCAAAUUUCCUGGAUUUUACUCUUUUAUUUAUGCAAGGUUGUUUGUUAAUCUGCUUUUUUAUGCAUAUUGAAUGAUGAUGUCACACUGUUAUUAGGAGAGAAAUAGGGUAGUGGAGGCUACCAAUUUAGAUAUGGAAGGUUGCAAAGUGUGGAUUUAGGCUGCGUUUGGAUUCACUCGGCUCCGCGCCGGAGUGGAGAGCAAUCUAGUUGAUUAAGGGCUUGUUUAGGACUACUGCGCUUCACCGAAAUUAGUUUCAGUCCAUGAAAUUCACUUUGGAGCAGUUCAUACAGGAGUUGUAGCACUAUCAAAGAGAGUGUUUGGCUUCCAUCUAGCUCCAGCUUCAGAAAUGGUCAAUUUGGUGGAAAGGAUCUAUCUAAUUGGAUGAGAGGGGAGAAACGAAGGGGCUUCUAGAGUUUUUUGGAGCAUCCGCUGAAGAGCUUAAAAAAAACUGGAAGUUGUACUUCAGAUUUUAGUUUUUUUCGAAGCGACACGUUGUGAAGCUAUCCCGUUUGGCUUGUAUUUUCUAAAACGGAGCUGGAUUUUGAGGAGCAGAGCAGUCCCAAAGAGGCUCUAAGGCCAUAAUUUAUAAAGUUGAUUAAAGCCC